GACGAACGCUGGCGGCGUGCCUAACACAUGCAAGUCGAGCGAGUGAAUCUCCUUCGGGAGUGAAGCUAGCGGCGGACGGGUGAGUAACACGUGGGCAACCUGCCUCAUAGAGGGGAAUAGCCUUUCGAAAGGAAGAUUAAUACCGCACAAGAUUGUAGCUUCGCAUGAAGUAGCAAUUAAAGGAGCAAUCCGCUAUGAGAUGGGCCCGCGGCGCAUUAGCUAGUUGGUGAGGUAACGGCUCACCAAGGCGACGAUGAGUAGCCGACCUGAGAGGGUGAUCGGCCACAUUGGGACUGAGACACGGCCCAGACUCCUACGGGAGGCAGCAGUGGGGAAUAUUGCACAAUGGGGGAAACCCUGAUGCAGCAACGCCGCGUGAGUGAUGACGGCCUUCGGGUUGUAAAGCUCUGUCUUCAGGGACGAUAAUGACGGUACCUGAGGAGGAAGCCACGGCUAACUACGUGCCAGCCGCCGCAGUAAUAC
rnacentral:rRNA from 1 species